CUACGGCCCUUUCUCAAUAGCAAGGCUAUGCUCACUGAGUCUUACAUAGUCAAGUUGGGUCAGUCACAGUCUCUCUCCGUCUCUCCAGGAGGAUGGUUCGGAGGUGGGAGUGGGAGGAGCCCAGGUGACGGGCUCUAACACCAGGAAGCACAUACUGCAGGUCUCCACCUUCCAGAUGACCCUCCUCCUACUCUCAACACAGAGAAAAGUCCACGGUUUGAGGUAAGAGCCAGAUACAGGUCAGUCUCCAUCGCAUCAAAGUGUUAGAAUUCACAGAUAAAUAUGGCAAGCUGAAAGAAAACAAAUCUUCUUCCUCCUCCUUCCCCACAUUUUUUCGCUCCACUUCCUCUUCACUCCUCUGCUCCUCCUUUACCCUCUCUUCCACUCCGUCCCCACCUGUAGGAGAUCCAGCAGGAGAACGACAUCCCGGAGAGGGAGCUGGUGCGAGCGCUGCAGUCGCUGGCCUGCGGAAGCCCCCCAGCGCGUUCUCCCAAGGAGCCCAAGUCCAAGGAGAUCGAGAACGGCCAGUGUUUACAGUCAACGAUCAGUUUACCUCCAAGUGCACAGAGUCAAAAUACAGACGGUCGCUGCUAGCCAGGGCGAGUCGGACCCAGAGAGGAAGGAGACGCGCGGCAGGAAGGUGGAUGACGACAGGAAGCAUGAGAUCGAGGCGGCCAUCGUCCGCAUCAUGAAAUCAGAAAGAGGAUGCAGCCACACGUCCUGGUAGCAGAGGUCACCCAGCAGCUGAGGGCCCGGUUCCUCCCCAGCCCCGUGGUCAUUAAGAAGCGCAUUGAAGGACUCAUAGAGAGAGAAUAUUUGGCACGGACGCCUGAGGAUCGCAAAGUCUACACCUACGUUGCAUAAGAGGAGAGGAGCAUUGUGGGAGAGGAGAAAUGGAUUGAGGGGAGGUUUUUUUGGAGGGGGAGUGUUGUGCGCAUGGACUGGGAAGUUCCUUUUUAAAAGAUAAAUUCUGGGAAGCUGACUCCUCCCUUUACAAAAAUGACAAAAACCAGAAGUUAAAUGGCAAAAAAAAUAAUACAAAAAAAAAAAAAUCCAUGAAGUGUUGUAGAUUUUUUUUUAUCAGGCCAACUACUAUUACUCUUGCUCCCUGUGAGAAUUUCAACAUGGAUGGAUUCCAGCUUUUCACCGUUUUACCCUUGUAGAGAUCGACCUUAAAAGAAUCCCUUGGGAAAGAUGUGAAGGCACCACUUUUUUUUUUUUUGGUUUGUUUUUUUGGUUUUCAAUACUGUAUAAAAAUGAGAAUGAAUUAUUAAAAACAAAACAGCAAAUGUGGAUUGCUAACAAAAAUAAAAUAAAAAAUAUUGAAUAUUGAGGCUUUAUUUCUUAACCAACAAUUAUUUAAUGCUGAUCCUUCAGGCUAACACUAGCUAUAAAAUCGUUGAAUUCAAGUGUGUGUGUGUCCUGAGUUUCAGACAGGGAUAUACUCAAUCUGUGUUUAAAGCCAAGUUCUUUAUUACCAAUGAAAGACAAUGAGGGCAGGUUAGACAUACUUAAAGCUAGAAUCCUUAGUUGCUACAACUAUUUUUUUUAAACGUAUUUUUACCUAUUUCAAUCUUAAAGAACACGUUUCAAAUUCCUCAUGAGCUCAGUUCAGCUGUUGUGUCCCGUUUUGUAAACAAAAACAUGGUUAAAAAUGUUGAUAUCCUGGAUGGUCAGUCCUUGCAUCCAUAAGCUCUGUCUGAAUGAGUGGCUACAUUUUUUUUCAGGCCCGUCCCUCAGCUGGGAUUCUAGUUUAGAGACAAAUGAGCGACCGUGACUGUGUCAGGAUGAGCGAUCUACCACCUCAUGGCUGUUGGUCACAUACUGAAGCUUUGCAUUUCCUUAACACAGUGAAAAGUACAAAGGGGAGAAUUCCAUUUUCAUCAAUGACUGAAGUGAACAUUUAACUUUAGUGGAAGUUGGGAUUCUACACGGAACAAAAAUGCAAACGGAACAUGUGAAGUGAUGGUUUCAUGAGCUGAAAUAAAAGAUUCCAGAAAUGUUUCAUAUGCACGAAAAGCUUAUUUCUCUAAAAUUGUGAACAAAUGUUCACAUGCCUGUUAGUGAGCAUUUUUCCUUUGCCAAGAUAAUCCAUCUACGUGACAGGUGUGGCAUAUCAAGAAGCUGAUUAAACAGCAUGGUCAUUACAUAGGUGCACCUUGUGCUGGGAACAAAAUCCCACUCUAAAAUGUGCAGUUUUGUCACAAUACAAUGCUACAGAUGUUUUGAGGGAGCAUACAAUUCGCAUAAUGACUGCAGGGAUGUCAACCAGCGAAUGUUUCCCUCCCAUAAGCCACUUCCAAUGUUGUUUUAGAGAAUUUGACAGUAAGUCCAACCGGCCUAACAUACGGCAGACCAGGUGUAACCACGCCAGCCCAGGGCCUCCACAUCUGGCUUCUUCACCUGUGGGAUUAUCUGAGACCAGCCACCUGGACGGCUGAUGAGACUGGGUUUGCACAACUGAAGAAUUUCUGUACAAACUGUCAGAAGCUGUCCCAGGGCAGCUCACCUACGUGCUCGUCAUCACCAGGGUAUUGACCUGACUGCAGUUUGGUGUCGUAACCGACUUCAGUGGGCAAAC
ensembl:lncRNA